rnacentral:rRNA from 1 species
UAAGGAAUAUUGGUCAAUGGGCGGAAGCCUGAACCAGCCAUGCCGCGUGCAGGAAGACGGCCCUACGGGUUGUAAACUGCUUUUAUACGGGAAUAAACCUACUUACGUGUAAGUAGCUGAAUGUACUGUAAGAAUAAGGAUCGGCUAACUCCGUGCCAGCAGCCGCGGUAAUACGGAGGAUCCAAGCGUUAUCCGGAUUUAUUGGGUUUAAAGGGUGCGUAGGUGGCCUGUUAAGUCAGGGGUGAAAGACGGUAGCUUAACUAUCGCAGUGCCUUUGAUACUGAUGGGCUUGAAUGAACUAGAGGUAGGCGGAAUGUGACAAGUAGCGGUGAAAUGCAUAGAUAUGUCACAGAACACCAAUUGCGAAGGCAGCUUACUAUGGUUUUAUUGACACUGAGGCACGAAAGCGUGGGGAUCAAACAGGAUUAGAUACCCCCGUAGUCC